rnacentral:rRNA from 1 species
ACAACAUUUCGAAAGGAAUGCUAAUACCGCAUACGUCCUACGGGAGAAAGCAGGGGAUCUUCGGACCUUGCGCUAAUAGAUGAGCCUAAGUCGGAUUAGCUAGUUGGUGGGGUAAAGGCCUACCAAGGCGACGAUCUGUAGCGGGUCUGAGAGGAUGAUCCGCCACACUGGGACUGAGACACGGCCCAGACUCCUACGGGAGGCAGCAGUGGGGAAUAUUGGACAAUGGGCGCAAGCCUGAUCCAGCCAUGCCGCGUGUGUGAAGAAGGCCUUAUGGUUGUAAAGCACUUUAAGCGAGGAGGAGGCUACUUUAGUUAAUACCUAGAGAUAGUGGACGUUACUCGCAGAAUAAGCACCGGCUAACUCUGUGCCAGCAGCCGCGGUAAUACAGAGGGUGCAAGCGUUAAUCGGAUUUACUGGGCGUAAAGCGCGCGUAGGCGGCUAAUUAAGUCAAAUGUGAAAUCCCCGAGCUUAACUUGGGAAUUGCAUUCGAUACUGGUUAGCUAGAGUGUGGGAGAGGAUGGUAGAAUUCCAGGUGUAGCGGUGAAAUGCGUAGAGAUCUGGAGGAAUACCGAUGGCGAAGGCAGCCAUCUGGCCUAACACUGACGCUGAGGUGCGAAAGCAUGGGGAGCAAACAGGAUUAGAUACCCUGGUAGUCCAUGCCGUAAACGAUGUCUACUAGCCGUUGGGGCCUUUGAGGCUUUAGUGGCGCAGCUAACGCGAUAAGUAGACCGCCUGGGGAGUACGGUCGCAAGACUAAAACUCAAAUGAAUUGACGGGGGCCCGCACAAGCGGUGGAGCAUGUGGUUUAAUUCAAUGCAACGCGAAGAACCUUACCUGGCCUUGACAUAGUAAGAACUUUCCAGAGAUGGAUUGGUGCCUUCGGGAACUUACAUACAGGUGCUGCAUGGCUGUCGUCAGCU